GGAUCCACCCCUUCCCAGACUUCAUUUAAAGUUGGCAGUGCAGGUGAGGGUGUUUUGUUGGAGUUUCCUGCACACUUGAAAUUUUCUGAAUGAUCCAAUGCAGGAAAUAUGUUUUAGAAAAAUUUCUUGCUAGAACCAUGGGAAAAACAUUCAGAGGGAAGAAAACAACUAAGGACAAAAUAGAUUUAUCAUAUCAAAGGCUUCCUUUCCCUCUCAAAAUGGCUUAAAUACAAAUAUUAUUUUUUAUCAUGUCACUAUUUAAGGCAUAGUAACAGAGUUAAAAUAUAUAUUACAAAAAUAUGCUGAGGAUGGAGUACUGCGCUAUUUGAAGCGGGACUGAGCUACCUGAAGAAACAACUACACAUCAAGUUAAGCCAGGCAGUGAGUGCAUGAGGAAAGAUUACCUCACUUAUAAGUUAUCUACAUGGAAACAUGGAAGAUGCUUAAACUGCACAGAAAACAGGAAUGGUAACAGCUCAGCUGCUUCAGCUUCCAAUUAAACAAUAACUUACAUCAAAACAGAACAGGAAUGAUGCAUCAACUGCGCAGUAUUCUACUGACCAUCAUGCUAUAGGUUGUCAUAAUUUGCAGAAAGCACAAGCAAAUACAAAGAUCAAAUAUCUGCUGUGCAGCAGAUACUUGAAACUGAUUUUUUCUGAAUAGAUAGAGCACUGGAGAACUGAAAUCUUUAAGGUAUCCUGCAUUUCUAUUAUUUUCUGUGAAAUAUUAAAACUUGCAUAUUAGAUCCUCAGAAUAUCCAUCUGAAAUUUAUUUUAAAAAUACAGUUCCAGGGUGAAAUAAUUUUACCUUCUUUCCCGUGCUGUAGAAAGAGAUCAUGAAAGAGAACUGCAAAAAUUUCAAGAAGGAAUCUGAACUCCUGCUCAUUGAGAAGGGAACUGGAUUUUCCCUUGCAGUGGCAUCUAUAAAUGAAGCCAUUUACCAUUCCCAGUAAUGAUUCCAGCAAAAUCUGAUUUCUGCUUAGUAAAGAAGGAAAGUCAAGUUUAAGUUUCUGUAAGGCAUGAGUGUGAAGCUUCACCAUUCACCUUGAAAUGCAGAAGGCCUUAAUAUUUCCCACUAGGCUCUGGCUCUCCCAUCAUUGUCUGUCUUAUCUUCCAUGGAUACUGCAAAGCCUUUACCACAGAUCAGAGCUGUUUCUCUUGAACCAGAACACCUGAAAAGAAAACUCUUCUUUUCUGAUGCCUUUCUUUUUUUAACAAUAGUAUUCAAGGAGAUACAGCAAUUUAUUCUACAUUUUUGAAAACAAUGUCUCUUGAAUGAGAUUUUUCUGUUAAUGUCCUGAAAUGUAAAGAGGUGGUCAAUGUUUACCAUGCCUGCUAUUUUGGGGACAUGCCUAUUAAAGUGAAGGAAGGCAUCUAUUUUCCUGUGCAUCAGAUAGAUUAAUCACAAGGGCCAAAAGCCUGUGGGUUUCCUUAGUGCCGAAGAAUGCAUUUUCCUUCCAAGUUUUUUUAAACCACAGUGAAUCAGGGGCUUCAAAUGAAGCGAAAGAUUACAGAUUCUGAGAGGAGUACUGUCUUGAUGUAUCACAAGGGUGGCUAAAAAUGUUAUUCCUACAACAGAGCCUUUCAAGCUAAUGGUUUGAUAACUGUGGCCUUAGAUGGAAAGGGUGAGGCUGAAUUGAGGAGUGAAAGAAAUUAUCCAAACCUACCAGAUCAUAUGGACUCUAAGAAGUACCAAGUAUGGAGAAGUGUGUGCAUAGGGAUGGAUGCUCCCAUGUUUUCCUUCAGUCAGAAGAUAUAUUGCUGUGUCAUUUCAGAACAAGAUUUUUGUUAUCUGAGUUGUAAAUCUCAUGGAAAUGUGGAAAACCACAUGCUGGAUCCCAGCUACACUUUUCUGAGUAAAUAACAUGAAAAGCUUGCCUUGUUUGAAGGUCAGGGGAAAGUGGGAAAGUCUGCAAGAAGUUUGUGUUCUACAUGUCAAACAAAUUGUUCUGUGUGAAGGAACUGGCAGUGAACAUUGUGCCUUGAGCCCUCUCAUGACAUCUGUAGGAGAGAAAUGAACUGGUUUUAUAGUUUUGUUGAAUGCAAAUGUUCAACUGUAUCUAUACCUCUCCUAUACACUUAAAAAGAUUUUUUUUUUUUAAGAGAAGUUGUAAUUUGCUUAUCUUGGCUUUGUUGUCUUCUGUGUUUUUUCUUUUUUUUUUUUUCAGGUUAGCCCAUCCCUUCCUAGUUACCCUUCUGGGAGUUUUUCCAAGAAAUGUAUGAAAUGUGUUCUCUAGGCUAAAAAAGAUACGUUCAACUGUACUUCUACAAUUUUAGAUUACACGGAGAUUAUGGAGGACAUUGUCAUAUAUCAGAUCAGAAUAAAUUGUAAUAGGCUGCUAUGUAAGUACACGCAGGCUGGAUCUUGAUGUGGUUUCCCACAAUAGUUGCUUUAGGCAUUCAUCUGGUGCAGUUUUCAUGGAGUGCUAUAAUGACAGGUUCCACAAAACCCUCCUCACUCGUUUUUAGCUCUGCAAUACCAAAACAGAAAAAAAAACUGUAGAGAACAACUAGGUGCUAAAAAUGCACUCUGAAACAAGCACUUUUGUAGCUAAAUUUUCUCUUCACA